CCCGGGGGCCCCGCGGAGCCGCAGGUGAGCCCCGCGGUCCCGGGCGCCGCCGGGGGAGGCUGCUGGGUCGCAGACAGCCGGCUUCGGACCGCAUCCCUAAACCUGGGGGAAGUGAAGACCGUACACCGUGGGGUCCGGAUCCCGGGCUGGCCUGCUGCCCGGUCACUACCGUGUGGCCCCCAGCAGGUUGCUUCAACUUUCUGAGCAUCGGUUCCUCAUCUAACCGGAGGCGAGCGGCUGAGUGAGGAGAUGGAGGGUGAGAGGAAGAGAGAGAAGGAGAGAAUUCCAAGCAGACUCCCCACGGAACGCAGAGGCAGACAGGGGCUCCAUGUCACCACCCUGAGAUCAUGACCUGAGCUGAAAUCAAGAGUCAGAUGCUUAACGGAGUCACCCAGGCACCCUGGACUCCUGGGUGGCUCAGCGGUUGAGCACCUGCCUUCAGCUCAGGGUGUGAUCCUGGAGACCCGGGAUCGAGUCCCACGUUGUGCUCCCUGCAUGGAGCCUGCUUCUCCCUCAGCCUGUGUCUCUG